GAUGAACGCUGGCGGCGUGCUUAACACAUGCAAGUCGAACGGAAAGGCUCCUGUUUGCAGGGGUGCUCGAGUGGCGAACGGGUGAGUAACACGUGGGUGAUCUGCCCUGCACUUCGGGAUAAGCCUGGGAAACUGGGUCUAAUACCGGAUAGGACCACCUUUUGGAUGGUGUGGUGGGAAGUGUUUCGGUGGGGGAUGAGCUCGCGGCCUAUCAGCUUGUUGGUGGGGUAGUGGCUUACCAAGGCGUCGACGGGUAGCCGGCCUGAGAGGGUGUACGGCCACAUUGGGACUGAGAUACGGCCCAGACUCCUACGGGAGGCAGCAGUGGGGAAUAUUGCACAAUGGGCGCAAGCCUGAUGCAGCGACGCCGCGUGGGGGAUGACGGCCUUCGGGUUGUAAACUCCUUUCGCUAGGGACGAAGCGCAAGUGACGGUACCUGGAGAAGAAGCACCGGCUAACUACGUG
rnacentral:rRNA from 1 species